rnacentral:snRNA from 1 species
AUCGCUUCUCGGCCUUUUGGCUAAGAUCAAGUGUAGUAUCUGUUCUUAUCAGUUUAAUAUCUGAUACGUCCCCUAUCUGGGGACCAUAUAUUAAUGGAUUUUUGGAACAGGAGAUGGAAGAAGAGCUUGCUCUGUCCACUCCACGCAUCGACCUGGUAUUGCAGUACCUCCAGGACCGGUGCACCUCUC